rnacentral:rRNA from 1 species
UACGUAGGGUGCAAGCGUUAUCCGGAAUUAUUGGGCGUAAAGAGCUCGUAGGCGGUGUGUCACGUCGGCCGUGAAAACCUGCAGCUUAACUGUGGGCGUGCGGUCGAUACGGGCAUCACUGGAGUUCGGCAGGGGAGACUGGAAUUCCUGGUGUAGCGGUGAAAUGCGCAGAUAUCAGGAGGAACACCGGUGGCGAAGGCGGGUCUCUGGGCCGAUACUGACGCUGGAGGAGCGAAAGCCGUGGGGAGCAAACAGG